rnacentral:tRNA from 1 species
GGCUCGUUGGUCUAGGGGUAUGAUUCUCGCUUUGGGUGCGAGAGGUCCCGGUUCCAAUCCCGGACGAGCCC